AUGAACGCACAAUAUCCUUUCAUCACUUCAGUUGCUUCGAAUCCGCAAAACCAGCAUCUCCCUGCAUCAAACAACAACAAAUUUUCAUCAUCUGCAUCAACAAUUCAAGAACAACACCAACACAAGUCACACAUAGAAGAGAAACCUGAAUUAGAAGAAGAAGGGGCGAGAAACAGAAAUGGAUAUACCUAA